CAACAUUUACUAUUACUCAACACAACAGUGGCCAGGGUUCAUCUUAUGAUAUUAAUUCUGCUUCUACAUUUUCUUCAGUAUUUAUCCUACAAAUAACUAACAGCAAAAGCUCUGAAAUUACCUUUUAUACACUUUGCAUGCUGCUUACAAUGCCAUGAGGAGCAGCAAUAGGUCCUGCAGCUUGCCCAGGUUGAGAAUAUAUCUUGCUGGGUUGGGUUAUAUAAUUUACAAGCCUUGGGCUUGGGUCAUAAUAGAUAGUCAGUUGUCUCAAAGUCGGGUAUACAUCGUACAAGGAAGUUUUCUCAAAGGAGAAAACAAAUGUGAAUAACAAGAAUCUGCAAUAAGAGAAAUACAUCACAACUGUAAGAAAUAGUUAAUGUAACAAUGAAAGUUUAAUUGGCAGUUUGGCACUGUAAAAGCCUAGAUAUAUCCCCAAGCACAAGGCUAGGCUACAUCCACAUGCAGGGCUAAAAUAAGCCUAAUAAUGGAAGAUUACAGGUAAACAAGGGUCAGCUACAGUUCUUAAUAUGCCUAAGAUUGGGAUUACAAGUAUAAAAGGGAUUCCCAUAUAACCUCAAUACUAAACCCAAGUAAUAACUGCAAAUCCUCCAAAGGGAAGGGAAAUGAUGUAUAUAGGAGUAGACAAUUAUAGUUUAGAAGGAUAGAAACGAGGAUAGAUCUUAACAUUAAAAAAUAAAUAAAAUAGACAGAAGAUGUUGGUAACGUUGAUGAAGUUCCUUAAUAUAGAAGCUCUAACGUUGGUAACGUUAGAGAUUCUCGGCAAUGUUGGUAACGUUAGAGCUUCUAGAAUCUGCAACAAUCAGAAAGGCCAAUUACUUCAAAUAUACGGACUUGCAUAACUCAAGAAAGUGAUUCUAAAUAGGAAUACCUUUUUAUUGAUUGGACGAGGCUUAAACUUGGGAAUUUUCGCCAUCAUUUCUUCCUCAAGUUCUGAAUAACUCUUAAUCUUAACUGAACGAACUCUCUAAUAUGUUUCAAGCUCAAGUUCCUUUGGCCUGAAAUACUCUUGGCAAAUGAAACUGAUAUUACAUACCACCGGUUGACAACUAUACCCCUAGUCUAAGUAGCUGGAACCAAAGCAUAAAUUAGAACCGUUUGUAAACGCUGUGACAACUAAAUUCUUACUUUUGGUUUUGACAUGCCUUCUUUCUCAACACAGACUUAGAUUUCUCUCGUGAGAGAAUUUAAAGGAACUAAAAUGACAACAAAACAAUGAAUGAUUAAGCCAUGUAAUGUUCAACAAUUUACAUCACAGAAAUCAAAAAUAAUAAAAGAGAGAGAUAAUGAGAAAAGAGCUAAUAUAAUCUCUAUGACAUGCAUGCAUCAAAAGAAUUAUGUAUAAAACUGUAAUAAAAAGUGCAAAUUCAGACCUUGAUUAUUGAAAAUAUCUUCAAAUAAGCACAAACAGAGCCUAUAAAUUGUAAAUAUCUCCUCUUUCUAUGCAUCAAGUCUAUUUUGAACGUUUUAAUAGAGAAUUUUUAUUCGUAAAAACAUGUUACACGGUAGCAAAAACUAAAAAACUACAACUGAGUGAAGCUACAAAUUAAAAUCAUUAUCAUAAUACUUCUCCUUUUACAAAAUUUGAAAUUCAUUUCUAAAAAGAACAGUUUAAAAUAAAACUUUGUUUUAACAUUUGCAACAUAUGUAAUAGGUACUCAAUCUACCUAAAAUGUAAAUAAUAGCAUGUUGGAUUUCAUGUCACUUCGUAAUCUAAAAUUAGAAAUGUAUCCCUAAAUUUGUUUGGAACUGCGGUAACGAUGUAUUGAACUUAUGAAAUACAAAUAAUAAUAAAACAGUCGGUCCCAUUUUGGUGUAAAUAAUAAUUAAUCAAACCUUUUUCUUCUGUUUCUGUUUCUGGGGCAAUAUGUUGAUUCCAACUGGAUUCAAAGCAGCUUUAGCAGCAGAAAUUGUGUCACUCUGGAUCUGCGACAAAGUCCCCCUCUUUAAUUUUUGGCGGUACUACCAACAAAAAUAAAAAGGAGAGACAGAAACAGAGAAAUAGAUUCCAGAGAUGAGAGACAGGAAUCAGAUGUUAUCCUCAAAGCAUGACCCAUAACAAACCUGCCGCUGGACAGAAGAUAGAGAUCUAGAAGAUUAGCUGAGAUUUGAGAUACAGAAGAUUCAGAUAUAUGGGUCAGGCGGGUUUUGUGGUGUUAACCUAGAUUUAUCAGAGAUGCACAUAAAAGCCCUAGAUUUAUCCAAAUUUCUCAAACAAAAACCUCGAAUUCCAUGCUUGAAACUGGUGAAAUAACCCGAAUUAAAGCUCCUCAACGAUUUUGAAGCUUCAAAAAUGGCAAGAUUUUGAGGAGAAAUGGAAGGGAAAAGGAGAGAGGAACUCAUCUCCAUAAAACCAACAUCGCAGAGAGAGAAAGUAGAGAGAUAGGAACCUCCUUUUAAUUUCAAAUGUUAGCUUUCGUGUUUUUUUUCUCUGUAUUUUUU
rnacentral:lncRNA from 1 species